AAAAGAAACCAACAGGGAUUACCUCAGUAACGGCGAGUGAAGCGGUAACAGCUCAAAUUUGAAAUCUAGCGCUUUCAGCGUUCGAGUUGUAAUUUGUAGAAGAUGCUUUGGGUGUGGCUCCGGUCUAAGUUCCUUGGAACAGGACGUCAUAGAGGGUGAGAAUCCCGUAUGUGACUGGCUGCCUUCGCCUAUGUAAAGCUCUUUCGACGAGUCGAGUUGUUUGGGAAUGCAGCUCUAAAUGGGAGGUAUAUUUCUUCUAAAGCUAAAUAUUGGCCAGAGACCGAUAGCGCACAAGUAGAGUGAUCGAAAGAUGAAAAGCACUUUGGAAAGAGAGUUAAACAGUACGUGAAAUUGUUGAAAGGGAAGCGCUUGCAACCAGACUUGCCUGCCGUUGAUCAUCCUCCCUUCUGGGUGGUGCACUCAGCGGUGGUCAGGCCAGCAUCGGUUUUGGUGGUGGGAUAAAGGCCUUGGGAACGUAGCUCCUCUCGGGGAGUGUUAUAGCCCUCGGUGCAAUGCCGCCUACCGGGACCGAGGACCGCGCUUCGGCUAGGAUGCUGGCGUAAUGGUUGUAAGCGACCCGUCUUGAAACACGGACCAAGGAGUCUAACAUCUAUGCGAGUGUUUGGGUGUUAAACCCAUACGCGUAAUUAACGUGAACGGAGGUGAGAACCCUUUAGGGUGCAUCAUCGACCGAUCCUGAUGUCUUCGGAUGGAUUUGAGUAAGAGCAUAGCUGUUGGGACCCGAAAGAUGGUGAACUAUGCCUAAAUAGGGUGAAGCCAGAGGAAACUCUGGUGGAGGCUCGCAGCGGUUCUGACGUGCAAAUCGAUCGUCAAAUUUGGGUAUAGGGGCGAA
rnacentral:rRNA from 1 species